rnacentral:rRNA from 1 species
GACGAACGCUGGCGGCGUGCUUAACACAUGCAAGUCGAACGAUGAAGGAGAGCUUGCUCUCCGGAUUAGUGGCGAACGGGUGAGUAACACGCGACUAACCUGCCCCUUUCUCUGGGAUAACGCUCCGAAAGGAGUGCUAAUACCGGAUACGAACUCUGAACACAUGUUCGGAGUUGGAAAGUUUUUCGGAAAGGGAUGGAGUCGCGGCCUACCAGCUUGUUGGUGAGGUAAUGGCUCACCAAGGCGACGACGGGUAGCCGGCCUGAGAGGGCGACCGGCCACACUGGGACUGAGACACGGCCCAGACUCCUACGGGAGGCAGCAGUGGGGAAUAUUGCACAAUGGGCGAAAGCCUGAUGCAGCGACGCCGCGUGAGGGAUGAAGGUCUUCGGAUUGUAAACCUCUUUCAGUAGGGACGAAGCGAAAGUGACGGUACCUAAAGAAGAAGCACCGGCUAACUACGUGCCAGCCGCCGUAACAC